rnacentral:rRNA from 1 species
GAUGGAAAGCACUUUGAAAAGAGGGUGAAAAGCACCUGAAACCGCCACGGGGGAAGCGGAUUGCAUCAGUGUUUGCUAGUAUCUGUUCAGCUAUCAUUUUGGUAGUGUAUUCAGUUCUAGCUGUGUUGGCAUGGCUGCUUUGGCUUUGGAUUAUGCAAGGCUAAGUGGUGAGGGCUCCCUUUUGUAGGUAGAGGAUGUCAACAAAAUGAUGCGACCCGACCCGUCUUGAAACACGGACCAAGGAGUCUAGCACUACUGCAAGUCGAAGGGUUUAAAAACUCAUGGGCGAAGUGAAAGCAAGUAUUUGGAGAUCUGAUACAGAUUAGGGAGGUGUUGCGACGUUGUCAAAAUAUCCUACCCAGAGCAGUUGUGCUGGGACCCGAAAGAUGGUGAACUAUGCCGGAAUAGGGCAAAGCCAGAGGAAACUCUGGUGGAGGCUCGUAGCGAUGCUGACGUGCAAAUCGCUCGUCGAAUUUGGGUAUAGGGGCGAAAGACUAAUCGAACCAUCUAGUAGCUGGUUCCCUCCGAAGUUUCUCUCAGGAUAGCGGGCCGACGAUGUGGGUUGUUUUGUGU